AACGAACGCUGGCGGCAUGCCUAACACAUGCAAGUCGAACGAGACCUUCGGUUCUAGUGGCGCACGGGUGCGUAACACGUGGGAAUCUGCCCUUUGCUUCGGAAUAACAGUUAGAAAUGACUGCUAAUACCGGAUGAUGUCGAAAGACCAAAGAUUUAUCGUCAAAUGAUGAGCCCGCGUAGGAUUAGGUAGGUGGUGGGGUAAAGGCCUACCAAGCCGACGGUCCUUAGCUGGUCUGAGAGGAUGAUCAGCCACACUGGGACUGAGACGCGGCCCAGACUACGACGGGAGGCAGAAGAGGGGAAUAGUGGACAAAGGGCGAAAGCGUGAUCCAGCGAUGCCGAGUGAGUGAUGAAGGCGUUAGGGUUGUAAAGCUCUUUUACAAGGGAUGAUAAUGACAGUACCUGGAGAAUAAGCUCCGGCUAACUCCG
rnacentral:rRNA from 1 species